AUUGGGGCGGGGGCACAGAUCUUCAUUAGCGCCCCUUUCCUGGGCCAGGCUCGUUACAGAGCACAGGUACUGGUUAAAUGUGUCCGAUCAUUCAUCAUGAUUUUGCCCUCCACUUUGUCACAGCGUGGGGAUUUAAGGAAGAUAGAUGGUACGAGAUGUUGUCUCCUCCACAGACGCUUUCUGCUCUGCAACACUCCACGGGUGUGAUUGGCAAGCUGUGAAUCCACCCACCACCCGUGAUCACACAGGCUUCCGGUGUUCGGUGCUCAUGAAUGACAGCUUCCGGGAGUGUCUGCAGCCUCUUGGAUUCUAUUUCCCUUGGGUAAAUAUUUAUGCAUGAACUUGCUAAGUCAAAAGGUAAGUACUUUUUGUUGUCUAAUGUUUGGUUUUUAUAUUUCUCUGCGUUACUAAGGCUCCAGUCCACAGCCUUGACUAUCACUCUACCAUGGAGCUACCCACUGGUACCCAUGCUUGUUAUUUUUAUUUGUGUGUAUGUUUGUCUACAUGUUUAUGCCUCAUGUGUGUGGUUCCCUAAGAAAUCCAGAAAAGGGCAUCUGAUCCCCAGGAGCUGGAGUUAAAGGCGGGUGACCCGGCGUGGAUGCUGGGAAAUGAACUGUUCUGUGGAAGAGCAACAUGCACUCCUUACCCCUGACCCAUCUUCGACACACUGUGCUGGACUCCCCAGCCCUUGUAAGUUGCAAGGGCUGCGGAGGUGGCUCAGUGGUUAAGAGCACUGACUGCUCUUGCAGAGGACCAGGUUCAGUUCCUAGCUCCCAUGUGGUGGCUCACAACCAUCUGUAACUCCAGUUCCUGGGGAUCUGGUGCCCUCUUCUGGCCUCUAUGAGCAUCUGCAGUCAUGUACAUUUAACCACACACAGACAUAUACACAACUUUAAAAUAAUAAAAAUAAAUCUCUCCAUAUAUAUGUAUGUAUAUGUGUGUGUAUAUAUUGAAACAUUAUGCAAAUCAUUGUAUUUACAGUCUCAUCAGCAACGCUUAGAGCUCUGUGAGUGCUCCACAUCCUUGCCAACACUUGAUAAUGUUGGACUUUUUCAUUUUAUCCUCUCUAUUGGGUGCGUUGGUACUUCGUGUGAUUUUAACCUCUUGUGAUUUGAGGGAAUUUCUGUAUUUCCUUUUGUGAUCUGUUCUUUCCUGUUUGGUUCCCUUCUUAGUUUUGCUUUUAUUCACAGGACAUAUUUACACACAAAGACUGAAAGCCGGAGGCUGGGAGACGGCUCCGUGGGUAAACAGCUGGCCCUGAGGACCUUGUGAGCUGAGUUUGGAUCCACAGAACUUGCGGAAAGCUGGGCGCAGGUGCACAAGCGCUCCUGCAGUGCCUCGGGAGCAGAGACAGCAACACCCUGGGAGCUAGCAGGCCCGCUACCCUGCUCACACACCCGAGACUGCUCCAGCCCCGCCUUCCAAUGGGUCUAUUCUGAAACAGACCCCAGACACCGCAUCACUCUGACGGCAAAGAACUCUGUAGGUAAAGACAGAACAUGAAGAUGACUUGUGACACCCCGAAACCCACAAUGCCUUGGUGCCAUCAGAGACCCAGUUAAUGCUGAAGUUUUCCUGAUUUCACACAGGGUUUUUCACAGUUGAAUUAUUUGACCAAGAUCUAAGCAACUGUUUGGGUCUUUAAGUACUCUUUGCUGGACAGUUUUAUGUCACCUUGACACAAGCUAGAGUCGUCAGAGAGAAGGGAACCUCAAUUGAGAAAAUGCCUCCAUAAGAUCGUGUUGUAGACAAGCCGAUGGGAUCCAAGUGUGCUCAGCCCACCAGCCCCAAGCCAUGAGCAGAGUUUCUAUGGCCAUCCUGAGGACAACGAUGUCCCAGGGCAUCUUGGUUUUGCAUGAUCCCCAAGUCACUGAAUACUCAAGUGUCUUAGACUUC